GGAGCUUGCUCCUUUGAAGUUAGCGGCGGACGGGUGAGUAACACGUGGGUAACCUACCUAUAAGACUGGAAUAACUUCGGGAAACCGGAGCUAAUGCCGGAUAACAUUUGGAACCGCAUGGUUCUAAAGUAAAAGAUGGUUUUGCUAUCACUUAUAGAUGGACCCGCGCCGUAUUAGCUAGUUGGUAAGGUAACGGCUUACCAAGGCAACGAUACGUAGCCGACCUGAGAGGGUGAUCGGCCACACUGGAACUGAGACACGGUCCAGACUCCUACGGGAGGCAGCAGUAGGGAAUCUUCCGCAAUGGACGAAAGUCUGACGGAGCAACGCCGCGUGAGUGAUGAAGGUUUUCGGAUCGUAAAACUCUGUUAUUAGGGAAGAACAAAUGUGUAAGUAACUGUGCACAUCUUGACGGUACCUAAUCAGAAAGCCACGGCUAACUACGUGCCAGCAGCCGCGGUAAUACGUAGGUGGCAAGCGUUAUCCGGAAUUAUUGGGCGUAAAGCGCGCGUAGGCGGUUUCUUAAGUCUGAUGUGAAAGCCCACGGCUCAACCGUGGAGGGUCAUUGGAAACUGGGAAACUUGAGUACAGAAGAGGAAAGUGGAAUUCCAUGUGUAGCGGUGAAAUGCGCAGAGAUAUGGAGGAACACCAGUGGCGAAGGCGACUUUCUGGUCUGUAACUGACGCUGAUGUGCGAAAGCGUGGGGAUCAAACAGGAUUAGAUACCCUGGUAGUCCACGCCGUAAACGAUGAGUGCUAAGUGUUAGGGGGUUUCCGCCCCUUAGUGCUGCAGCUAACGCAUUAAGCACUCCGCCUGGGGAGUACGACCGCAAGGUUGAAACUCAAAGGAAUUG
rnacentral:rRNA from 1 species